rnacentral:rRNA from 1 species
GACGAACGCUGGCGGCGUGCUUAACACAUGCAAGUCGAACGGAAAGGCCCUGCUUUUGUGGGGUGCUCGAGUGGCGAACGGGUGAGUAACACGUGAGUAACCUGCCCUUGACUUUGGGAUAACUUCAGGAAACUGGGGCUAAUACCGGAUAGGAGCUCCUGCUGCAUGGUGGGGGUUGGAAAGUUUCGGCGGUUGGGGUUGGACUCGCGGCUUAUCAGCUUGUUGGUGGGGUAGUGGCUUACCAAGGCUUUGACGGGUAGCCGGCCUGAGAGGGUGACCGGCCACAUUGGGACUGAGAUACGGCCCAGACUCCUACGGGAGGCAGCAGUGGGGAAUAUUGCACAAUGGGCGGAAGCCUGAUGCAGCAACGCCGCGUGCGGGAUGACGGCCUUCGGGUUGUAAACCGCUUUCGCCUGUGACGAAGCGUGCGUGACGGUAAUGGGUAAAGAAGCACCGGCUAACUACGUG